AAAGUUUUAAGUUAAAUUAAAAACUAAUAAUCUUCAAAAUUAUAAAUAAAUAAAAUUUAAACUUUA
rnacentral:tRNA from 1 species